AUCAAAUCACAACUACCAACAGUCACAGUCCUUAAACUCUGAGCUCAUAUGUUGUCACAUGUUAGAUCGUCAAAGUUAGAAAAUUAACAGGAUCAAUCCCUGACAAACUACGAUAGCAUUAUAGGAACAGUUGUGUUCACUAACGUUGUAGCAUUCCAUAAAAUAAUGUGACGAAGCACAAACCACUGUUUGUUAUCUGUGAGGUUACAUACCCCUCCUACUUUGUCCAAUCGACGAGCGCCCCUUUCAACCACGUGAUGCAGCUCGGAAAGUUUGGUGCAUUUUAGAAAUCACAGUGUGAAAGCAGAACCGAAACAAGUGAUAAAUGCAACAAUGUUGCGACUUUCAGCUCCACAAUCGAACCGAGUCCGCUUGGUCAGGUAUGAAAGCGACCUUAAACUACUUUUAGAUGUUGAGUUUAUUGUGACUUUGCUGUUGUAAACAUUGCUGUUCCAACAAAGAUUUGAAGUAAUGGUCACAAUAGAACCAUUUUAUAUGCUGUUUUACUGUAGGGUUGCUUUAGUAGUUCUCGUAGUAGUUGUUGUAGUUAUAGUAUCUGUGUCUUCUGUGUUUGCACUCAGCCAUUUGUUAUUUCUACAAGAUAAUUUAUUCAUAUUGAAUUAUCUUAUUCUGUGAGCACAAGACAGUAACUUGCUCUCAUCAGAUUAAAUAAAUUGCUUAAAAGUUUUACUCUCCAGAACUUCAGGGGCUCUGUAGUUUGAGGAUCAUACCCGACAUCAAAAUCUCACCAAAACAAGAUCCUUGAAUACUUUUCCCAUUCAGUCUUUUGAUGAAAAGAGUAGAAAUAAACUUUUACAUGAAAGUGCUGUUGAGUUUUGGCGCAGCUAUCAGACUACAUGUUUAUCUCUGAUCUCUCUGAUGUCUAAUCCACAACAUGUUACCUAUUACUGUACUUGUUUACACAUGGGCUCUGUUUGUCGGUUGUUUAUUUAUAUAAAAUACAUCACCCGCGAGACAAAUCAGACAGAUUUAUUGAAAAUGGAAACAAAAGUCCGAGGUUUGUGCAAUCACAUUUAAUCCUCUGCUUAUCAUCAGAUAGCAUGUGCAGCCACCACGCAGGAGAUUCCACUCAAACCACAUCUGCUCAGCAUAUGACCCUGCAGCCAUGCCAUACAGUACCGGCAACAGCCAGGCCAACACUCUGGAGAGGAAAGCUGUGAUCUGCGGCACUUUUACAAAGAAAAAUGAAGCAGGAUGAGAAAGAAACACAAGCCUUAAAGGAUGAGUCUGGAGUGAAGGUAUAUUGAGCAGGAGAUGAGAAACGACAGCUUGGAGGGGGUUCCUCGUAUUGAUUUGUGGUGAAUUUGUCUGGCAAGUGCAUUGUUUGAGGAUGAAGGUCUGUCUUGGCGUGAUCUCUUCCAGAUGAUGAUACAUGACGAUAUCUCACUGCCUCCCCGUCACGUGACUUACAAGAUGUUUGGUGGUGUUCUAACAGGAACCGUAUACCCUCCCUGCCUCAUCUCUGUAAUUACGGUUCUGUCCUGGCUGGGUUCCUCCUCAUAUGUCCUGUCACAUUCAAUCUAUGUCCACCCCACAAGCUCCGGGAACUUGUCAUUUUUACUUCAGAGGUUUACUCUGCCUGAGUCUUUGCCUGCAUAUGUGCACAAACUGGUGCGUGUUUGUAAUGUACCGUUCUGUAUCAGUAUCAGAGAGGAAGCAAGUCCCUCUCGCUUCCAGUAAGGUCCCAUUAAUCACCCUUGCCAUAAAGUAGGCCAAGUCAGCUGAUGGGACCGUAUGUCUGUAAUUCUAAACCGCAAUGCUUUGCUGCUUAGGAAACAUUGUCUGUCUAACAUCGAUCACGCAUCUGUAUCCUAUUGUAUCAGGCUGCGACAUAAGACAGUCAUCUAGAGCCCCUCGUCUUCAGACAGUCAUCUGAAGACGAGGGCGGGAACAGAGGGGAAGAAGGGCACUCCAAUUACUGGUAGGGUGAUUAAUCAUAACCAUACUGGGCAAAAGUUGAGGUAACAACAAAGCUGGACCACAGGGCUGAAUGAUAAUGGCUGCCGCUUGGGGUUCAAGGUGAUAAUUCCACCGUAGGAUGGAGGGGCCUUGGCCAAAAGGAGAAUGUUGAAGCCUGACAAUAAGGUCAAAGGUUCAGACCUGAACUGUAACUGAGAAGUUAAGGUGAAUAACCACUUGAGCUCUGUUUCAUAUUAACAUGAGCGAGUGUUUACUCGAGAGAUGCUGCUCAUGACUAACUCUGUGUUUUGUGUCUGAUUUCACUGACCAGCCUUAAGGUUUUAGAAAGGAAGCGUUUCAAUUCAUUUGCAUCAACAUCACUGAAUCCAAUCAUCCAAGCAGUAUGAUCCGUUGUGCACCAACACAAACCUUGACACUAACACCAAUGGAAUAAUCGCCUGAUAGAGCUAAAAGAGAUCCAAAUAAACAACUAAACAUACCGUGCUAUUGUUUUAUCAAGUUGUGUCUGGCUAUGGGUUCGUCUUUCGAACUCCAACCGCUGCUGCUUGGGUGGAGUGGCAUGCUAACUUUGUUGAAGCAUGCCGCUUCAGUAGAUUGCUGUUCCUGUAGAAAAAAAUUUUGACCCAGGACACCGUUUACAUGUUACCUAAAUGUUGUUUUUUCCUUUGUUCCCGAGUUGAAAAUAAUGUGAGUAUCUCCAUGAGGAGAAACUUAUCUUUCCCUUCUCACCGUGGCCUGACCUGUCCAGUCCUCUUUAUGGCGCAUGUUUGAUUACGUGUGUGAUGCUAGAGGGUGACAAGUGCUUUGUUUUUCCAAUUCAAUUAAACUUUAUUGAUAGCUAAAAUGUUAUGUUAACCGUAUGCCGUUGUAAAACCUCACCAAAAGGAACAGAGUAACGCAACGUUUGGUAACGGAAACGUUACUGAACAACACACUACAUUAUUAGUUACUGCAUAAAGUCCAGUGUUACGUAACAGUGUUAUUAAAUUGUACCUUCUCUGUUGGGCAUCGCAAAUGCAAGACAGGUAAACGAAACACAGUAACAUGGCAGCAAACUGUAAGCAAACCUUUUUUGGGCUCUGUAGUUUCCCAGAUGUCUAAAUCUACGUCUGACAUCGAUCAUAGAUGCACAAAACAGGUCCCAAGUUCAAACUCUUUGCCCUGUAGUCACUUUAGGAGAAAUUCUGCAAGUUUACUUUGGAGAUGUCGAUCAUCACAAUCAUGCAGACAUAAUCUUCAUCCUACAUGGUUUUAAUUUUAUCCAUGAUCGAAUCAGGAAAAACCUGCACUCUUGGUAUUCCCUGUAUUUACUUAGAUCACUUAUUCUCAAUAGCCCUUAAAGUACAGCUUCAUAUGGUUCACCUCUCCAACUAGCCAAAAAAAAGGAACCCAGCUUUCCCCUCACAAAAAUAUCUUCAAGACUUUAAUCUCUAAAUUCCUCUUAAAUUUGGUCCAUGACAAUCCUCUUGUUAUGUGGCAAAGAUGGAGAGGAGCUGCUGAAAGGCAAAAAUGUUUAAAAAGGAAAAUCAAUAAAAGUCUCUUGUGAUCUGAGCGAGACUCUCCAGAUGCUGGACACCAGAGAAAUAUUCUAUCUAUUUCUUCUUUGCCUUCAGUCUCCACCUCUGCUCACAACAACACCAGACCAUCUUCAAAGACUUUCACUGAAAGGAUGAAGUGCGAGCUGUAGAUGUUCAUCCAGAUCCUCUCACCCUCCAUUUCUGUGUGACCCUUAAGAAACCAUGAAAAAAUACUCUUUAGUUCAAAUCUGAUCAAACAGCCUCAUUAAAGACAUAUACUCUUGAAGCUUUGGUCAGUAUGUGUGUUCUCCACAAACACCGUCUUUUUUAUUCCAAAUCUAAAAAAAUCUCUUGGGGCCUCAUUCAUCAACUAUGAGUAGAAAAGGGUCUAAAUUCUGACGUAGGAAUGAAAUCUAGAAUGUGCGUAAGUACAAAAAAAGUCUGGAUUUAUCAAACAUGCGGACACCGGUCAUACGCAUACUAGUAAGUUUUUUACUACCGUGCUUGUGCAUGGUUAGGGUCAUUUGCAUUCAGAAACGCCUCCAAUCACCAUAUAUGGUAUCAACAAUCCUCCUCAAAAAUGCGUGAAUGGAUUUUUUCCCCCUCAUGGAGGUGCACACUCCACACACACCGGGCAACAUCAUUUAACAGACACAUAUGUGCAUCACAGAUUGUUUGUGCAUUGAUUGAAUGAAAUCCUUUCCUGUUGACAUGACUUAAUUUAUUGUAUGAAGGUGCUUUUAUCACGAUGUGGGUGCAAUCGUUGGCUCCAAUAAUUUUAUUUCAGCUUGUUGGUGAUGUGCUUAUGUAGAUUGGAUUUAUAUUGAGGCCGGAGAAAUUAUUGCAUCCAACUCUGCUGACAUGAUUCUGCUUAGCGUUGGCUGCGAAAUGCCGUUUAUGUCUCUAAUCUCAUGUUGAAAUGUUCUGGUGGCCAAAAAUCCCAGGGUGGACAGGAGCUGGGUGUGCACUGGGAUGGCUUUGGUGUGUUUUGUCUC